UACGUAGGGGGGCAAGCGUUGUCCGGAUUUAUUGGGUGUAAAGAGCGUGUAGGCGGCUAGGUAGGUCCGUUGUGAAAACUCGAGGCUCAACCUCGAGACGUCGAUGGAAACCAUCUAGCUAGAGUCCGGAAGAGGAGAGUGGAAUUCCUGGUGUAGCGGUGAAAUGCGCAGAUAUCAGGAGGAACACCGAUGGCGAAGGCAGGUCUCUGGGCAUUAACUGACGCUGAGGAGCGAAAGCAUGGGGAGCGAACAGG
rnacentral:rRNA from 1 species